rnacentral:misc_RNA from 1 species
GGCAUAUGCCUCUGUUUCAGAACCGACAGUCUCCAUUUCGUCAUUCUGGGUACCAGAUGAAUUUAUAUAUAGGUAUACGGGCUUUGUUGGAUUAUCGAAAUCCAACCACAUAAACUGUGCAACAAUAAGCUCUGUAACAGCUUCUACAAUAGGCAUGCCCAGAUAGACAAUUCUAGCAUCUAAAAGCAAAGAUGGCAAAUCAGGAGGCGCAGUUGGGGAUCUAUCAGAUCUUGCUCCUCCUCCUCCGUACAUGCUGACGCUCAUGCUGCAUGUUGAAGGGCCCUGUUUAUUCAUGCCUGACAUACUCCACAUUCCACCAUUUUUCAGAUAGUUAUGGGAUGAAGAUAUAUUCUCUUCAGUGACGCUUCCCGACUGUCGCCGGGCUGGGUUAUCUUCUGUCAUGAACAUAUCCAUCUGUGACGGAGAAAGGCCGUAAAGAUACUGAGGGGCAUUCUUAUAGUUGUUCAGUAGUCCAUCUUUGAGAUAGUCUUGUCUGAACUGUUUGGGUAUAUGGUUGAAAGACUGGGCUACCGGAGAGCUGUAAGAAUAUCCUCGAACGCCGGCGUUGGGUCUAUGAAGAGAAUCUGAAAAGAAGAAAUUGGGGGUGGGAAGGAAAGUUGAUUUAUUGAGUACAAUAUGAGAGGGAUUAUUAGCAAGAGUAGGGCAAGAAAGUGGAGAGAGAAGCAAGGAAGAAGCCAUGGACAUUUUUUCGUCUUCAAAACUCACUUCUGG